GACGAACGCUGGCGGCGUGCUUAACACAUGCAAGUCGAACGGAAAGGCCCUGCUUUUGUUGGGUGCUCGAGUGGCGAACGGGUGAGUAACACGUGAGUAACCUGCCCUUGACUUUGGGAUAACUUCAGGAAACUGGGGCUAAUACCGGAUAGGAGCUCCUGCUGCAUGGUGGUGGUUGGAAAGUUUCGGCGGUUGGGGAUGGACUCGCGGCUUAUCAGCUUGUUGGUGGGGUAGUGGCUUACCAAGGCUUUGACGGGUAGCCGGCCUGAGAGGGUGACCGGCCACAUUGGGACUGCGAUACGGACCAGACUCCUACGGGAGGCAGCAGUGGGGAAUAUUGCACAAUGGGCGGAAGCCUGAUGCAGCAACGCCGCGUGCGGGAUGACGGCCUUCGGGUUGUAAACCGCUUUCGACUGUGCCGAAGCGUGAGUGACGGUAAUGGGUAAAGAAGCACCGGCUAACUACGUG
rnacentral:rRNA from 1 species